CCUACGGGAGGCAGCAGUGAGGAAUAUUGGUCAAUGGCCGCGAGUCUGAACCAGCCAAGUCGCGUGAGGGAUGACUGUCCUAUGGCUUGUAAACCUCUUUUAUCAGGGAACAAAGUGCGCCACGUGUGGCUUUUUGCAAGUACCUUAUGAACAAGCAUCGGCUAACUCCGUGCCAGCAGCCGCGGUAAUCCGGAGGAUGCGAGCGUUAUCCGGAUUUAUUGGGGUAAAAGGGUGCGUAGGGGGUCCGUUCAGUCAGCGGUAAAAUUGCGGGGCUCAACCCAGUCGAGCAGUUGAAACUGGCAGACUUGAGUUGGCUAGAAGUACGCGGAAUGCGUGGUGUAGCGGUGAAAUGCAUAGAUAUCGCGCAGAACUCCGAUUGCGAAGGCAGCGCACCGGAGUGAGACUGACGCUGAGGCACGAAAGCGUGGGGAUCGAACAGGAUUAGAUACCCUUGUAGUC
rnacentral:rRNA from 1 species